UACAGAGGUCUCGAGCGUUAAUCGGAGUCACUGGGCUUAAAGGGUGCGUAGGCGGCGCCGCAAGUGCCUUGUGAAAUCCCACGGCUCAACCGUGGAAUUGCUCGGCAGACUGCGGCGCUUGAGGUCGGUAGGGGUCGCUGGAACUCUAGGUGGAGCGGUGAAAUGCGUAGAUAUCUAGAGGAACGCCAAAGGUGAAGACAGGCGACUGGGCCGAUUCUGACGCUGAGGCACGAAAGCGUGGGGAGCGAACGGG
rnacentral:rRNA from 1 species